UCAAUAUUAAAAGUAUCUAACCCAACAUCUGUGCCUAACUUUACACAAUUAAAUUAACUUUAUGUUGUUGAUUUUAUACAUAAGAUUUUAGGUGCUGUUGAGUAUUAACAUUUAAUUGUAAUAAUGUAGGAAAUUCUAGAAGCCGCAAUCAUUGGCAAAACAAGGAAAGAUGAAAUUGAAUAUGUAAUUUGGAAAAAUUUACGUAAAAACAGGGAAAGUUAUGAAAAUUAAAAAAUAUUGUUUCUUUAGAACCAAUGACCGUCCAUUACGUUUGGCGGCGACUCCUCGACAUCCAGGUGAAAA